GAUGAACGCUGGCGGUGUGCCUUAGGCAUGCAAGUCGAACGGUAAUUUCAACUUCGGUUGAGAACGAGUGGCAGACGGGUGAGUAACACGUGAGAAUCUACCUUGUAGUGGGGGAUAGCUCGCCGAAAGGCGGGGUAAUACCGCAUGUGAUCGCAAGAUCAAAGUCGUAAGACGCUAUAAGAGGAGCUCGCGCGCUAUCAGUUUGUUGGUGGGGUAAUGGCCUACCAAGACUAUGACGGCUAGCCGGUGUGAGAGCACGACCGGCCACAAGGCUACUGAGACACGGAGCCUACACCUACGGGUGGCAGCAACCGGGAAUAUUGCGCAAUGGGCGAAAGCCUGACGCAGCGACACCGCGUGUGGGAUGACGCUCUUCGGAGUGUAAACCACUGUGGCGAGGGAAUAAUUAAUGAAGGUACCUCGCUAGAAAGCACCAGCUAACUACGUGCCAGAAGCUUCGGUAAUACGUAGGGUGCGAGCGUUAUCCGGAUUUACUGGGCGUAAAGGGUCCGUCGGCGUCUGUGCAAGUUUUUUGUUUAAGCCUGGGGCUCAACUUCAGAAAAGCAAAAAAUACUGUACGGAUAGAGUUUGUUCGAGGAAGUUGGAAUUCUUGGUGGAGGGGUGAAAUCCGUAGAUAUCAAGAGGAACACCGCGCGCGAAGGCAGGCUUCUAGAACAAUACUGACGCUCAUGGACGAAAGCUUGGGUAGCAAAGCGGAUUAGAGACCCGUGUAGUCCAAGCUGUAAACGUUGUCCGCUAGUUGUUUCCCUCGCACUGGACUCGUACUCCGAGUCUGGUGUGAGGGAAGUGACGUAAGCUAACGCGUUAAGCGGACCGCCUGGGGAGUACGACCGCAAGGUUAAAACUCAAAGGAAUUGACGGGGGAGCGCACAACCGGUGGAGCAUGUGGUUUAAUUCGAUACAAAGCGAAAAACCUUACCUGGGUUUGACAUGUACCUGCACGGUCUAGGAAACUAGAUCUUCUUCGAGAGUGGUACACAGGUGAUGCAUGGCUGUCGUCAGCUCGUGUCGUGAGACGUCCACUUAAGUGUGGUAACGAGCGCAACCCUUAUCGUAUGUUAUAAGUGUCAUACGAGACUGCCCCCGCUUUGCGGGGGAGGAAGGAGAGGACGACGUCAAGUCAGCACGUCCCUUACAUCCAGGGCAACACACAUCCUACAAUGGAGCCGACAACGGGUAGCGACGGGGUGACCCCGAGCCAAUCCUCAUAAACGGCCCCUCAAUUCGGAUUGAAGGCUGCAAUUUGCCUUCAUGAAGUCGGAAUCGGUAGUAAUCGCAAAUCAGCAGGUUGCGGUGAAUACGUUCUCGCUCCUUGUACACACUGCCCGUCAAGCCAGCAAAGUCAGCAACGCCCGAAGCGGGUGUUCGGAACUUAGUUUACUAAGACCGACCCUUCUACGGCGAGGUUGGCGAUGAGGACU
rnacentral:rRNA from 1 species